AACGAACGCUGGCGGCAGGCUUAACACAUGCAAGUCGAACGCUCCGCAAGGAGAGUGGCAGACGGGUGAGUAACGCGUGGGAACGUGCCUUUUGGUUCGGAACAACUUCGGGAAACUGGAGCUAAUACCGAAUGUGCCCUUCGGGGAAAGAUUUAUCGCCAAAAGAUCGGCCCGCGUCAGAUUAGCUAGUUGGUGGGGUAAUGGCCUACCAAGGCGACGAUCUGUAGCUGGUCUGAGAGGAUGAUCAGCCACACUGGGACUGAGACACGGCCCAGACUCCUACGGGAGGCAGCAGUGGGGAAUCUUGGACAAUGGGCGCAAGCCUGAUCCAGCCAUGCCGCGUGAAUGAUGAAGGCCUUAGGGUUGUAAAAUUCUUUCGUCGGGGACGAUAAUGACGGUACCCGAAGAAGAAGCUCCGGCUAACUUCGUGCCAGCAGCCGCGGUAAU
rnacentral:rRNA from 1 species